AGAGUUUGAUCAUGGCUCAGAACGAACGUUGGCGGCGUGGAUUAGGCAUGCAAGUCGCGGGAAUCCCCCGCAAGGGGGGGAACCGGCGUAAGGGGCAGUAAGGCGUGGGUACCUACCCCGGGGUCCGGGAUAGCCGUCCGAGAGGGCGGGUAAUACCGGAUGACCUCGGGAGAGCAAAGCUCCGGCGCCCCGGGCGGGGCCCACGUGGUAUUAGCUGGUUGGUGGGGUGACGGCCCACCAAGGCGGGGAUGCCUAGCGGGUGUGGGAGCACGACCCGCGCCACUCGCACUGAGACACUGGCGAGACACCUACGGGUGGCUGCAGUCGAGGAUCUUCGGCAAUGCGCGCAAGCGCGACCGAGCGACGCCGCGUGGGCGACGAAGGCCUUCGGGUUGUAAAGCCCUGUCGAGGGGGAGGAAACCGGGAAACCGGCUGACCCAUCCCUGGAGGAAGCUCGGGCUAAGUUCGUGCCAGCAGCCGCGGUAAGACGAACCGAGCGAACGUUGUUCGGAAUCACUGGGCUUGAAGGGCGCGUAGGCGGGCUGGACAGUCCGGGGUGAAAUCCCCCCGCUCAACGGGGGAACGGCCUCGGAUACUUUCGGCCUGGAGGGGGGUAGGGGCGGGCGGAACUGUGGGUGGAGCGGUGAAAUGCGUUGAGAUCCACAGGAACUCCGGUGGCGAAGGCGGCCCGCUGGACCCUUACUGACGCUGAGGCGCGAAAGCCAGGGGAGCGAACGGG
rnacentral:rRNA from 1 species